rnacentral:rRNA from 1 species
CCUGGCUCAGAACGAACGCUGGCGGCAGGCUUAACACAUGCAAGUUGAACGGGAACAUACGAUAGCUUGCUAUAGUAUGUGAGAGUGGCGCACGGGUGAGUAAUACAUGGGAACAUACCUUAAAGUGGGGGAUAACUUCUGGAAACGGAUGCUAAUACCGCAUAUACCCUGAGGGGGAAAGAUUUAUCGCUUUAAGAUUGGCCCAUGGCAGAUUAGGUAGUUGGUGGGGUAAAGGCCUACCAAGCCGACGAUCUGUAGCUGGUCUGAGAGGACGAUCAGCCACAUUGGGACUGAGACACGGCCCAGACUCCUACGGGAGGCAGCAGUGAGGAAUAUUGGGCAAUGGGGGCAACCCUGACCCAGCCAUGCCGCGUGAGUGAAGAAGGUUUUCGAAUUGUAAAGCUCUUUCGGAUGUGACGAUGAUGACGGUAGCAUCUAAAGAAGCCCCGGCAAACUUCGUGCCAGCAGCCGCGGUAAUACGAAGGGGGCGAGCGUUGUUCGGAAUUACUGGGCGUAAAGGGUGUGUAGGUGGACGUGUAAGAUAGCGGUGAAAUGCCGGAGCUCAACUUCGGAAUUGCCAUUAUAACUAUGCGUCUAGAAUUAUAGAGAGGAUAGCGGAAUACCCAGUGUAGAGGUGAAAUUCGUAGAUAUUGGGUAGAACACCAGUGGCGAAGGCGGCUAUCUGGCUAUAUAUUGACACUGAGGCACGAAAGCAUGGGGAUCAAACAGGAUUAGAUACCCUGGUAGUCCAUGCCGUAAACGAUGAAUGCUGGUUGUCGGACGAAUGUUCGGUGACGAAGUUAACGCGAUAAGCAUUCCGCCUGGGGAGUACGGCCGCAAGGUUAAAACUCAAAGGAAUUGAC